rnacentral:rRNA from 1 species
UACGUAGGGGGCGAGCGUUGUCCGGAAUUAUUGGGCGUAAAGAGCUCGUAGGUGGUUUGUCGCGUUGUCCGUGAAAACUCACAACUCAAUUGUGGGCGUGCGGGCGAUACGGGCAGACUGGAGUACUGCAGGGGAGACUGGAAUUCCUGGUGUAGCGGUGGAAUGCGCAGAUAUCAGGAGGAACACCGGUGGCGAAGGCGGGUCUCUGGGCCGAUACUGACGCUGAGGAGCGAAAGCGUGGGGAGCGAACAGG